UUAACGCUUGACUCCGCAAUGCUAGCUAGCCAAGUUUGGAAGAAUUAGCUAGCUGUGCUACACGUUAGCCUGGAGCAUUUCGUGCUGUGACUGUGUGGACCGGGUUGUUGUUCCGUUAAAAUGAUAAAGGGUGCGAGUUGACAAUGCCGAAAAGUAUCACAACAUUAUGGAGUAGCUAACGUUAACGAUAACUUAACGUUAGCUAACUGUCUGCUCAACUUCACCUGGCAAAGGGCCAUAUUGCGAGUUAACACUGAAUGACAUUACUACCACGUAACGCCGUGUGUGAUACACUUGUGUUAUCGAGGCCGUAUCAGGAUGAUUUCCCGUUGUGUAUCUCUUUGACAUUGCUUGUUCGGCUGUAUAUGAACGGAGCUUUUCUUGCUUUACGUCGGCUAAAGACACAUGAGGAGCAACAGGUGUGGUGAUGGGACAACCAGCAACAAAGAACUGGCCAUGAGCUGUGAUUGACCGUUUUUCUUCUUUAACUAGCAGUGACUCAUCCCUGUGUCUGCCAUGAUGUCCACUCCCAAGACUCAUACACUGAUGAUUACAGCUGUGGAUGAGGCACGUGGUCGGUGGAGUUCUUCAUUGAUUUGGAUCUUAUUCCAGGCCCCAGUUUUCCCACACUAAAAAUGUUCAUCAAGAUUGACACUGGCUGACUAAAAAGACAUGGUAGUCCGGUCAAAAGAGAGUCAGACCUUGGAUCAACGCUUGUGUCAUUACCUCAAGUUUCGGUUAAAUGGUAAAAAAAAGAUUUAUCUUGGAUGUACAUCCUAUAUUGUGAUGAGUACCACAUGUUAAAUUGGGAUUUAAGCCAUUGUGUUACAGUACAAUAUUUCGGUUCAGAGAAAAACGGAGAAAAGAGAAAAGCAAUGUGGGAAACGGAGGGAAAUAAGUACAAGCCCUGUUCAAUCAUCUCCAAAGCUUUUCCCUCGCUGUUUAAAUUUUUAUAUUCUGUCUACGAAAAACAUCCACCCACUGCCUGAGAAAAAUGCAAUAUUGUAAUAUUGCAACUGUAGCAGAGCGUAAAUGAAAAGGCAUUUUGCGGUGAAUAUUAAAAAAAAAACACCUUGGGUAAUUAUUGUUAAACCAGAAAAAUAUUCCACUGUGGAGCAAGGCAGCGUCUCCAUAGUGAACAACUGUUUUUAAUAGAAGUAAAGCCCAAAAGACUGCACUCCUCCACCCCCUCAAAUCUGAGGCCUUAGAUCAGCGAGGGUUUUGUAGCACCUUCUUAACAGCGUUCAGGGUCAGGAGAAAAUCUGAUUGAGAAAAGAAAGGGUGUCCUU